UACGGCCGCAUCACGUUGAAACACUAGUUCCCAUGUGAUCACCGAAGUUAAACAACAUCAGGUCUGGUCAGAACUGAAAUGGGUAACCGCUUGGGAAUACCAGGUGCUGUAAG